UUCAGUUAAUCAAUAUUCAAACUUUAUUUCCCUAAAAUAUACUACAACUGUUUCGUGGUCAGAACAAAAGCAGUCACUAUCUCUUCUGAAUUUAAAAUGACAAAUGCUUUUGUUAUGUUUGCAAAUUUUCAAAUUUCAUUCUGGUGAUCCAUUCUUUCUUUCUCUAUCUCUCUUUGUUUCUUCUGGCUGCUUCAGUGGAUCAUCCUUAUAUCAAUUUGGCACAGAUUUUACAACAAAUUCCUUUCCUGGUGCGACCAAGCACUGAGAAUGCACUCAUGCAACUCCAGUGACUGUCAGUCUAAAAAUCCAUUAACCACGUAACCCACUUAAUUAAUUAUUUAAAUAUAUUUUUCCUUGUUAUCUAUAACCUCCAUAUUUGAUUCACUCUGUCAUAUAUUGUUAUUAUACUCUCAUAUAUAUAUACACCUACUCUUCCUUUAUACUUCAUUUAUAUCUUUAACCUUUAUAGUUCAGUUAUAUCUUUUAAUACCUUUUAAUAUUGUAAUCCUAUUUCUCAAUAUGUCUGUCCUCAUUUAGGAAUAUGUAUCUUGUUAUCUGUCAAACUUCAAUCAUAUUUUCACUUAGGUCACAAACUUGUUCAUAAGUCUUUUGUUUAUUAUUACGUUCUGUUUCUCCUAGUACUGCCCCUCUCUCAUUCAAGCUUUAUUAUUGCCACAGAUAUUACUGUGUUUUCUUUAGAAUUGUCUGGUUGGGUAAAAAGGUUAAGUCCUCACAACUUUUCUACAUUUUAACUAAAUCAGGAAUCAGUCCAAUUUAUUUACCUUUUAAUUUGGCAUAAUCUAUUUUUUUCCCAUUAAAAAUAGUUUUACACUUUUGCUGGGAUGUCUGGUAAAAUUCUCAUUCCUCAUUUUACAGAGUGACCUUGACACUCCCGUGAGCUCUGCGUUCUGGGCUGUGCCUGGAAAUGACUCUCUUAUCUCGGCUUGUUUCUCCUGCUUCAAAAUUAAAUCUUCAGUGCACAUAUUUUUUUACCAACAAUUAUACUUUUUAAACAAAUCUCUUUUUUUUUUUCUUUUCCUUUUUCUAACUUUUUGUCACUGACAGCUGUUACAACAUAAGAUAUCUAUUUUCCUUUUAUUACCAUUUAUUAAUUUUAAUUUUUGUAUUUGAGGCACUUUUUAAAUCUUCGUCAUAUGAGCUUCUGACUUUGGUCCCAACUUUUCAGCUUGGAAUAUCUUUUACAAAGAACUGCUAACAUUUUAUUAACAAAAACAAUCAAGCACAAUGGAUUUUCUCUAUUGCCAGUUUCUUUUCAAACAGACCCUCGGUUUGAGCAAUACGGUUAAGGGUGAACACCGAGCUGACUUUAUCUGUCCGGUCCCGGAGUCUGGAGGAAGAGAGGAGAGGCGCACAAUCCACGUUGCUUGAGGUCCAG